UGUAGCUCAGUGGUAAAGUGCUUGCCUAGCAUGUUCAAGUUCCUGGGUUUGAUCCCCAGUACAG
rnacentral:tRNA from 1 species